rnacentral:rRNA from 1 species
UGGGGAAUAUUGGACAAUGGGGGCAACCCUGAUCCAGCGACGCCGCGUGGGUGAAGAAGGCCUGCGGGUUGUAAAGCCCUUUCGGUGGGGAAGAAAAGUUUCGACCUAACACGUCGGGACCUUGACGUAACCCACUAAAGAAGCACCGGCUAACUCUGUGCCAGCAGCCGCGGUAAUACAGAGGGUGCGAGCGUUAAUCGGAAUUACUGGGCGUAAAGCGCGCGUAGGCGGCUUUGCAAGUCGGAUGUGAAAUCCCCAGGCUUAACCUGGGAACUGCUUCCGAGACUGCAUCGCUAGAGUAUGGGAGAGGGAAGUGGAAUUUCAGGUGUAGCGGUGAAAUGCGUAGAUAUCUGAAGGAACAUCAGUGGCGAAAGCGACUUCCUGGACCAAUACUGACGCUCAUGUGCGAAAAGCGUGGGGAGCAAACAGGAUUAGAUACCCUGGUAGUCCACGCCAUAAACGAUGAGAACUGGAUGUCGGGAGGGUCUGCCUCUCGGUGUCGUAG